ACCAGGAUGGCCCAGUGGUUAAGGCGUUGAACUUAAGUUCUAAUGGCUGUAUAUCCACAUGAGUUCGAAACCCACUCCUGGUA
rfam:Xenopus laevis strain J chromosome 2S, whole genome shotgun sequence.